rfam:Cariama cristata contig104301, whole genome shotgun sequence.
UCAAAGGUCUCUUUAGAGACCCCCAAGGGUAAAUGUAAUCUUUACU